rfam:Gammaproteobacteria bacterium RIFCSPHIGHO2_12_FTLL_35_23 rifcsphigho2_12_scaffold_54, whole genome shotgun sequence.
GGGCCUAUAGCUCAGUUGGUUAGAGCAGCGGACUCAUAAUCCGUUGGUCCCAGGUUCAAGUCCUGGUGGGCCCA